AUGAACAAUUUCAACUUAAAAUUACCUAUCUUUGUCAUUCGAAAGAGGUUUCAUUGCAAAGCCUUUAUCAAGCAAUAAAUCUUGUUUAAAAUGACAUUUUUUUAGUGAUGGAAGCAGUUUUAGUUUUAUAUAGUUUAAAUAAAGUAAAUGUUAGGGUACACGAGGACGCGUUAGCAUAAAAGAAUGUUGGCCUAGUUCAUCUGAAGACUAGGUGCUUCAGCAAAAUGAGAGUCUAAUUGAUGGUUGGUUGUUUUUUUGGAAAAAUAAACUUGAUAAGUGUGCUAUAUUUGAAUUUGUGCGGCUGUGGCGCAGUGGUUAGACUUCUAAACCAAAAUCAAGAGGUCCGAGGUUCAAUGCUACUUUAGCCCAAUCAGCAACAUUGGAUAGGAAGAAGGAGUGAACUUCCAGUUAAAUGCUCGCAGUGCUGUGUAAUAAGAAGAGUUAAUGUAAGUAUCUUGAUAACUAAAAAUCAAUAUAAAAAUUUUGAAGUAAACAUUGAAUGGCUUAUCUAAUGUUUUUAUGCACACCGGUGUUUGACAGUACUGCAGUAUGUCAUCAAAAUAUAUAUAUUAUACGCGAUUAUUCCAGAUAAUGCCUGCAAACUCAUCAUAUCCUAAAGACGCUUACACUUGCAGACGUUUGUACGUAACGGUAUACAAAUGGAACUAAGAAGAUCUUAGACCACUAAAACAUAGUCAUAAAAAAAUAAGUUCAUUCUUUUGAUUAUGAUUACAAACUAAAGAAUAAUAUUAAACGCUAAUAUAAAAGUUUAGCGAAAAAAAUUUUGCGCAUCGACGUUGGUUUGUGGCAAAGUAAACCUUUAUGUGUCGAGUUUCUUUUGCAUUUAUCUUACAUUUUUUUGAUUAAUUUUAAUUUUGUUGUACACAAAUGCAUAAAAAUAUAUAAAACUGGUAGAGAUGUAUCAUUUCACGGAUAAGAGAUUUAUUAUUACAAUAUUUAUUACAAU